AACGAACGCUGGCGGCAUGCCUAACACAUGCAAGUCGAACGAGACCAUCGGUUCUUGUGGCGCAUGGGUGCGUAAGGCGUGGGGAGCUGCACUUAGGUUCAGAAUAACUCCCCGAAAGGGGUGCUAAUACCGGAUAAUGUCUUCGGCCCAAAGAUUUAUCGCCUUUGGAUGGGCCCGCGUUGGAUUAGCUAGUUGGUAGGGUAAAAGCCUACUAAGGCGACGAUUCAUAGCUGGUCUGAGAGGAUGAUCAGACACACUGGGAGUGAGACACGGCCCAGACUCCUACGGGAGGGAGGAGUGGGGAAUAUAGGAAAACGGGCGAAAGCAUGAUCCAGCAAUGCCGCGAGAGUGAUGAAGGCCGGAGGGAAGUAAAGCUCUUUUACCCGGGAUGAUAAUGACAGUACCGGGAGAAUAAGCUCCGGCUAACUCCGUG
rnacentral:rRNA from 1 species